GUAUAGGGGUGUUUGUAGGGGUGUGUGUGUGUGUAGCGGGGUGUGUGUGUAGGGGUGUGUGUUUGUGUAUAGGGGUGUGUGUAGGGGUGUGUGUGUGUAGCGGUGUGUGUGUGUAGUGGUGUGUGUGUAGGGGUGUGUGUGUUUGUGUAUAGGGGUGUGUGUGUGUAGCGGUGUGUGUGUGUGUGUGUAGUGGUGAAUGUGUAGUGGUGUGUGUAUGUGUAGUGGUGUAUGUGUAGUGGUGUGUGUUUGUAGUGGUGUGUGUGUAGUGGUGUAUGUGUAGUGGUGUGUAUGUGUAGUGGUGUAUGUGUAGUGGUGUGUGUGUGUAGUGGUGUCUGUGUUUGUGUAUAGGGGUGUGUGUAGUGGUGUAUCGGUGUGUGUGUGUAUAGGGGUGUGUGUGUAGGGGUGUGUGUGUAGCGGUGUGUGUGUAGCGGUGUGUGUGUGUAGGGGUGUGUGUGGUGGUGGUGUGUGUGUAGCGGUGUGUGUGUGUAGGGGUGUGUGUGUAGUGGUGUGUGUGUAGGGGUGUGUGUGUAGUGUUGUGUGGUGGUGUGUGUGUGUAGUGGUGUGUGUGGUGGUGUGUGUGUAGGGGUGUGUGUAGUGGUGUGUGUGUAGUGGUAUGUGUAUAGUGGUGUGUGUGUAGGGGUGUGUGUGUAGUGGUGUGUGUGUAGGGGUGUGUGUGUAGGGGUGUGUGUUGGUGUGUGUGUAGUGGUGUGUGUGUAGGGGUGUGUGUGUAGUGGUGUGUGUAUAGUGGUGUGUGUGUAGGGGUGUGUGUGUAGGGGUGUGUGUGUAGUGGUGUGUGUGUAGGGGUGCGUGUCGGUUUGUGUGUAUAGCGGUGUGUGUAUAGUGGUGUGUGUUUCUCCGUUCCUCCCAAAACAACAACAGCCUCCAAAAGCAGCAGUCUGUCCAGACAAAGACCUUGUUUAGAGUUGGGCUGUGGUGAGUGUCAGGACUGAAGAGGCUGUGGUGUGAUGUGACAGAGGCUAGGAGGAGGGAGGGAGAGAAGGGCUAUUCAUCACAUUCCUGAUGCACAAUCACAUUACUGAAAUGUUUCAAAUACAAUACAAACUACUGUAUUGUAAUAACAUUGUU
ensembl:lncRNA